rnacentral:lncRNA from 1 species
CUUCAAGUCAGGUCAUGCUGAGCUGUGCAUUCUUUACAAUCAGUGCAUGUCCUGUGACUCUGCUUUUGAGACAAGUAUAAUGCUUCAGUGCUUCCUCACAAAGCUACCUGUUUGACUUUUGCCAAUUACUGUCAAUUAUUUUAAUGUGGAGAUAGCAAAGGUCCAAGGAAGAAUUUUGCAAGUCUUCAGAAUAUGAGUCCAGUGAACUGAGGCUAUGGUGACUAAAAGGGAAACAGAGAAGAUUCCAGUGACUGACAAUAUUGACUCCAUAACCAAGAAGCUGGAACAAAUCUCCUUGCAUUGUCCUGGCCAGUUCAAUGUUCAAUCAUUGAAGACCCAUUUGAAAACCUCUUCUCAAUUUGGUAAUCUCAGACAGCAUUCUUUGACCAACUCUCACCAAGUAAUCCAAAUCCAAGGUUUGAAUGAUGCUCAUAGUUGCAUAAUUAACAAUAAACAGUCAGAGAAGACAAUGAUAAAAACUAAUCUUAAAACUCAUAUUUCAAAGAUGCCUGGAGUCCAAAUACCAAUUGGUGACCCACUGCCUUUUCCAGUCCCCAAACUUUCAGUAGGUCCUUUGUCAGAGAUAUCAACAGAAGAAUUCAAGAAAUCUGCCAUAAGAUCCAUAAGUGCUACCUCUUCUAUUGAGUCAGAGAAGAAAGAAGCAAAACAAGGUUUGUAGAGAACAUCACUAAAGGGAAGAUGCACUGGAUUCCACCCAG